GUGCACCAGGCGAGAAUACUUUACAAUGUGCGAAAGCACGAUAAGGGAACUCUGAGUGCCUCCUAAGGAGGCUGUUCAGGUGUCUAAAAAGCACCUGGAGUAAGGGCUGGGUAAGACCGGUGCCAGCCGCCGCGGUAACACCGGCAGCCCAGGUGGUAGCCACUUUUAUUGGGUCUAAAGCGUCCGUAGCCGGUUGAGUAAGUUCCUUGGGAAAUUUGGCUGCUCAACAGUCAAGCUUCCAGGGAAUACUGCUCGACUUGGGACUGGGAGAGGUCAGAGGUACUCCAGGGGUAGGGGUGAAAUCCAUUAAU
rnacentral:rRNA from 1 species